rnacentral:rRNA from 1 species
AGCGAACGCUGGCGGCAGGCUUAACACAUGCAAGUCGAGCGGGCGUAGCAAUACGUCAGCGGCAGACGGGUGAGUAACGCGUGGGAACGUACCUUUUGGUUCGGAACAACACAGGGAAACUUGUGCUAAUACCGGAUAAGCCCUUACGGGGAAAGAUUUAUCGCCGAAAGAUCGGCCCGCGUCUGAUUAGCUAGUUGGUGAGGUAACGGCCCACCAAGGCGACGAUCAGUAGCUGGUCUGAGAGGAUGAUCAGCCACAUUGGGACUGAGACACGGCCCAAACGCCUACGGGAGGCAGCAGUGGGGAAUAUUGGACAAUGGGGGCAACCCUGAUCCAGCCAUGCCGCGUGAGUGAUGAAGGCCCUAGGGUUGUAAAGCUCUUUUGUGCGGGAAGAUAAUGACGGUACCGCAAGAAUAAGCCCCGGCUAACUUCGUG